rnacentral:rRNA from 1 species
UACGGAGGGUGCAAGCGUUGUCCGGAUUCAUUGGGUUUUAAAGGGUGCGCAGGCGGGACAUUAAGUCAGGGGUGAAAGACGGUUGCUCAACAAUCGCAGUGCCUUUGAUACUGGUGUUCUUGGGUAACCUUGAGGUAGGCGGAAUGGGUGGUGUAGCGGUGAAAUGCGCAGAUAUCAGGAGGAACACCGGUGGCGAAGGCGGGUCUCUGGGCCGAUACUGACGCUGAGGAGCGAAAGCGUGGGGAGCGAACAGG